ensembl:lncRNA ROCR regulator of chondrogenesis RNA
AAAGCUUGAGAGAAAAUGCCAGGGGAAAGCAUGGAAACUUUCUGGGGAUAAACUAUGGGUCUCCACCUUUGCACUUAAUCAGGGGACAGCCACUAACCCCAGUAGCUGCAUGCUUUCUGCCACCUUCAUCUACCUGAGCAAAACUUCAAGGACAUGUUUAUGCUGAAUCUCCAGAGAGAGCAAUAGAAGCCCAGCUUGAGGGAAAUGACUGGACCUUGAUUACUUAGGAUAAAAAGAGAUCAAUUUAUGGUGGAUGAAGUUUUGUGUUUGCUCUACUGACCUGAAGUGAGGAACAACCACAUACAUCUUUGUCUUCACUCUGUCCAGCUGUCAACUGCAUUGUUCCCUCACGUCUUCCUGCAAAGUACCAUUAUUUCCACACCUUAAGAAUUAAAGAGUGAAGAGAAAACGACAAAAUGUUCUUGUUUAUCAGGAGAUGGGGGUGAGCUGAGCUUUCCACAAGGUCCUGAAUGGAUGAGAAGGACCCAAAACAUAUGGAAAAUAUGGAGAAUAGGGUAUAAGUAAUAAAAAUAAAAAUAAAAUAAAUAAAAUAAAUUGGGAA